CCAGACUCCUACGGGAGGCAGCAGUGGGGGAUAUUGCACAAUGGGGGGAACCCUGAUGCAGCGACGCCGCGUGGGUGAAGGAGCGUUUCGGCGCGUAAAGCCCUAUCGGCAGGGAAGAAGGAGGACGGUACCUGACUAAGAAGCCCCGGCUAACUACGUGCCAGCAGCCGCGGUAAUACGUAGGGGGCAAGCGUUAUCCGGAUUUACUGGGUGUAAAGGGGGCGCAGACGGCAGCGCAAGCCAGGAGUGAAAGCCCGGGGCCCAACCCCGGGACUGCUCUUGGAACUGCGCUGCUGGAGUGUAGGAGGGGCAGGCGGAAUUCCUGGUGUAGCGGUGAAAUGCGUAGAUAUCAGGCGGAACACCGGCGGCGAAGGCGGCCUGCUGGACCGCGACUGACGUUGAGGCUCGAAAGCGUGGGGAGCGAACAGGAUUAGAUACCCUGGUAA
rnacentral:rRNA from 1 species